rnacentral:rRNA from 1 species
AUUGAACGCUGGCGGCAGGCUUAACACAUGCAAGUCGAGCGGGGACUUCGGUCCUAGCGGCGAACGGGUGAGGAAUGCUUGGGAAUCUGCCCAGUAGUGGGGGAUAACGUUUCGAAAGGAACGCUAAUACCGCAUACGUCCUACGGGAGAAAGGGGGGGAUCUUCGGACCUCUCGCUAUUGGAUGAGCCAAAGCCGGAUUAGCUAGUUGGGGAGGUAAAGGCUCACCAAGGCGACGAUCCGUAGCUGGUCGGAGAGGAUGAUCAGCCACACUGGAACUGAGACACUGUCCAGACUCCUACGGGAGGCAGCAGUGGGGAAUAUUGGACAAUGGGCGAAAGCCUGAUCCAGCCAUGCGGCGUGUGUGAAGAAGGCCUUCGGGUUGUAAAGCACUUUAAGCGAGGAGGAAUGGCUCUUGGUUAAUAACCUUGAGCAGUGACGUUACUCGCAGAAUAAGCACCGGCUAACUCUGUGCCAGCAGCCGCGGUAAGAC